UACGGGGGGGCAAGCGUUGUUCGGAAUUACUGGGCGUAAAGGCUCGUAGGCGGCCAACUAAGUCAGACGUGAAAUCCCUCGGCUUAACCGGGGAACUGCGUCUGAUACUGGAUGGCUUGAGUUUGGGAGAGGGAUGCGGAAUUCCAGGUGUAGAGGUGAAAUUCGUAGAUAUUCGCAAGAACACCAGUGGCGAAGGCGGCUCACUGGCCCGGUACUGACGCUGAGGCACGAAAGCGUGGGGAGCAAACAGG
rnacentral:rRNA from 1 species